AAGUCGUAACAAGGUUUCCGUAGGUGAACCUGCGGAAGGAUCAUUAGUGAAUAAACAAGUGCAGGUUGUGCUGGCCUUCUUGGGUAUGUGCACGCCUGCCAGUUUCAUUCCAUCUUCCCACCUGUGCACUCUGUGUAGAUUCUGUAUGCUAUUGUCAAGCCUUUAUUGCGCUUGGUUGAGAGGAGUUGCUUGUUUCACCAAGCUCUUCUUGGGCAUGCAGGUCUAUGUUUAUAUCAACACCAUAUGAAUGUUUUAGAAUGUGCUUUAGGCUUUUUGGCCUUUAAAUUAUAUACAACUUUCAACAACGGAUCUCUUGGCUCUC
rnacentral:misc_RNA from 1 species